rnacentral:rRNA from 1 species
UGGGGAAUUUUGGACAAUGGGCGCAAGCCUGAUCCAGCCAUGCCGCGUGCAGGAUGAAGGCCUUCGGGUUGUAAACUGCUUUUGUACGGAACGAAAAGACUCCUUCUAAUAAAGGGGGUCCAUGACGGUACCGGAAUAAGAAGCACCGGCUAACUACGUGCCAGCAGCCGCGGUAAUACGUAGGGUGCGAGCGUUAAUCGGAAUUACUGGGCGUAAAGCGUGCGCAGGCGGUUUAGUAAGACAGGCGUGAAAUCCCCGGGCUCAACCUGGGAACUGCCUUUGUGACUGCAUAGCUAGAGUACGGUAGAGGGGGAUGGAAUUCCGCGUGUAGCAGUGAAAUGCGUAGAUAUGCGGAGGAACACCGAUGGCGAAGGCAAUCCCCUGGACCUGUACUGACGCUCAUGCACGAAAGCGUGGGGAGCAAACA